ensembl:lncRNA
GUGGUCUACUGGUGGUGUCUCAAUUUCUACUGGUGUCCUUCAUUCAUACUCAUGGUGAAAUACUGCAGGACUGUAGAGCCCAAGCCCCGCCCACCAGCCCACAGUGCCCCAUGCAGCCAGAACCUUCUGAAAUGUUGCCUAUAUCAACCUGGGCUGUUCACCUCUUCAGCGCCAGCACCUCUUCAACAUUACCCGUGAUUCCGCUCUGACAUUGCUGCCUGCUCACCUUGCCACUCAGCUUCCAUUGCUGCCUGCUCACCUGUUGCCUGCCCACCUCGCCACCCAGCUCUUCUUGCUGCCCGCACACUCCGCCGCUCAGCUCUCAGCACGGCCUGCCUCGCCAUACAACUCUCCUCACCGCUCGCCUCCUGGAGCCACUCAACCCUGAACAAUUCCUCUCUGUUUAAUUCCGGUUGUGUGAAUAAACACUUUAUUUGCCUCCC